UACGUAGGGUGCGAGCGUUAAUCGGAAUUACUGGGCGUAAAGCGUGCGCAGGCGGUUUUGUAAGCCAGAUGUGAAAGCCCCGGGCUCAACCUGGGAAUGGCAUUUGGGACUGCAAGGCUUGAGUGCGGCAGAGGAAACUGGAAUUCCUGGUGUAGCAGUGAAAUGCGUAGAUAUCAAGAGGAACACCUGAGGUGAAGACGGGUUGCUGGGCCAACACUGACGCUGAGGCGCGAAAGCCAGGGGAGCAAACGGG
rnacentral:rRNA from 1 species